GAUCGAGUAGCUCAGUUGGUAGAGCAACGGCCUUUUAAGCCGUGGGUCCUGGGUUCGAGCCCCAGCUCGGUCACAA
rnacentral:tRNA from 1 species